CUCUAAACUCUCCACCGUUCAAUACCAACAUUCAUCCUCACCUCACUUAAAUUCAACUGUUUUUUUCACCAUGUAGAAGUUCAAAUUGGUGAUGCAUUAGCCCCUAACGGCCGCACCACCUUCUGACCCUCGUUGGGGUUGCUAAACCUGUUUUGGUUCGUUCAACCGUCGUCGGCACCAUCCCGGUGGUCGUUUUCUCUUGCAUAUGUGCUAGAGUGCUUCGAUCUGGUGUUUCGGAUAUGCUUUCGUAAGCAGAUCUCACCUCUCCUCCAGCGGUGGUAGUUGUUCAGUUGGAUUGUCUUCUCCUAUCCAGCCUUUGUUGAGUUUUUAGUUUCAAUAUCAGUCACGCAAGUUGUCGGUUAGUGCAUCUGUUACCGUGUUCGCCGUUCCACAAGAGAUGAAAUCAAUUUUGUCAAGCUCAUCUCUAGUUUGUUUUGAUGUUUACGGCAUUUUACACAUCUAUUUUUUUAUUUUAUUUUUGCAAUUUGGUUUCGGGCUCCACAUUGGGUUUGCUAUAUUGUGCCUUGGUGUAUAUUUGUCUUGCUAGCAUUUGUUUUAUCUACAAGUAUUUGUAUACUAUGA